rnacentral:rRNA from 1 species
UAUACUGCAGUCGAGCGAGCAUAACCAGCAGAUUUACUUCGGUAAUGACGCUGGGGACGCGAGCGGCGGAUGGGUGAGUAACACGUGGGGAACCUGCCCCAUAGCCUGGGAUACCACUUGGAAACAGGUGCUAAUACCGGAUAAGAAAGCAAAUCGCAUGAUCAGCUUAUAAAAGGCGGCGUAAGCUGUCGCUAUGGGAUGGCCCAGGCGGUGCAUUAGCUAGUUGGUAAGGUAACGGCUUACCAAGGCAAUGAUGCAUAGCCGAGUUGAGAGACUGAUCGGCCACAUUGGGACUGAGACACGGCCCAAACUCCUACGGGAGGCAGCAGUAGGGAAUCUUCCACAAUGGACGCAAGUCUGAUGGAGCAACGCCGCGUGAGUGAAGAAGGUUUUCGGAUCGUAAAGCUCUGUUGUUGGUGAAGAAGGAUAGAGGUAGUAACUGGCCUUUAUUUGACGGUAAUCAACCAGAAAGUCACGGCUAACUACGUGCCAGCAGCCGCGGUAAUACGUAGGUGGCAAGCGUUGUCCGGAUUUAUGGGCGUAAAAGCGAGCGCAGGCGGAAAAUAAUCUGAUGUGAAGCCCUCGGCUUAACCGAGGAACUGCUCGGAACUGUUUUUUCUUGAAUGCAAAAGGAGAGU